CGUCACACCUGGCACAGAUUGGGUUUGAAGUUCUGCUGCCCCGCGAGUGACGAGGCUGGCCUUUCUAAUCGUCAGCUGGGUGGAAAUUGUUCAUUCAUUGUCAGCCUCGGCUGUUCCUCGCACAACGGGUGCCCUCUGCUGUCCAGUGCGUGUGCAGCAAUCUCCCACACAUGCCUCAAAAUAAAUUCCUUUGCAUCAGAAGAUGGCCACAAAAUGCUUCAGUCUGAAGAAGGGUCUCAAACCCGAAACGUCACCUCCUCCUUUUCUCCAGAGAUGCUGCCUGACCCGCCGAGUUACACCAGCAUUUUGUGCCUAUCUUCGGUGUAAGCAUCUGCAGCACCUACACAUUUUCUUAGGAUCAGACUGGGAGAUAUUGUGCAAACGCAAAAUAAAACCAUAACAUCUUGAUUCAGUUUGCAGUGUUAAGCAGUGUAUUUCUAUCUAAUCAGAAUAGCUUUUAUUUUAACUGCUGUGUGGAAUAGUGUGAAUGUUUAAAGGCUAGCAGUGCAGAAACAUCAUUAAGCAUACCUUUUUCUGAUGGGGAAGAAAUCUUUCCGCUCACUAAUACGGGAAAGCUACAUACAAUUUAUUAGACAGAUUAAAUUUUUAAAAGAUUUUUUUUUCAACAAGAACUACUGAUUUUUCUAUUAGAAUCACGUCUGCUCAUGUUCAAUUAUUGUUAAAGAUGUAAGUGUUCUAUCAGCCAGGAUUAGACCCUGUUUCAUAAAUGCGGGUAUCUUUGGGUGAAUGAUCAGAUGGACAACAAUUACUCUCACUCACUGCGUCGAGGUUCAAGAUUGCCUUAUCUCCUUUGAUGUGUCUGCUAAAAACACGGUGACUUACUGAUGGCGAUGAGGUUAUUGUGUUGGCAACUGUGUUCUUGAUGGCUUGACUGGGAAAGAACGCUUCCUCAAUGCUCAAAUGUGGAGGCAAGCAUCGACAAUGAGAGUCAACCUAAUGACCACCUUGUGAGUGGCAGCAUUUUGUUUAAUUUAGCAAUGUCACAGUUCCAUGUUUUUCCAUGGAUUUCAAUAUCAUACCUCGUUUGGGGGGGGGGGGGAGAAUCAAAUCAGUAUUUAAAAUACCAGAUGGUACAUGACUACCGUCUGUCUACAUGUUAACCAUGGGUUUGUUUAUACGCAAUUAUAAAUCAUACUUUAAGAUGUAUUAGUGCUGUAUAGUAGAAAUUUGUUUUUAAAGAAGGAAAUCAAGCAAUUUUUAUUUAUUUAAAACUGAUUUUAACCAAAGCCUAUAUGCCUAUUUACCCUGCAUAAUCUUUCUUUAAAAGACUAAGGUUAAUCUUGCUAUAGUGGGGCUACUUGGGAGCUCACUGUAAUAUCAGAAGUUCAAAUGACGAUGCUCUAUUCUGUGCCAGUGACAGCCUGGGUCUGGCACAUACAAUUAUGUUCAAAAAUUGCAUAUUGUGCAAAGAUUAAUUUUUAAAAAGGCUUUGACCGUGGGUCAUUGAAGAGCUUCACACACCAUGCAAUGGAUGGAAAUGCUUGGAAUCUAAGCAGAUGUGUGAUUUGUUUUGAAUCAUAAGCUUCCGUAUUAAACUAUCAGGUGCCACAUUGCUUGCUUCAGAAGUCUGGGGGGCAAAAUCGACCAGCCUUUUAAAAUGACAAAGUACUUACCUUUCAUCUACUUCAUAGCCAUUGCAAAUGAUUAAUUUAUGAUCUGCAUUGAAAAAAAUUGAACCGCCUCCCUCUGCAAUACUCUUAUGCCCUCUUCCUCCAAAUAAAAACUUUCUAGUUAUAUUUAAUGUACAACAUAUGCUAACCUAACGAACUGUAACCUGGGAUUAUUUGAUUAAGGAUAUUUGAUUACAUGUGUUUCUAAUGGCAUCAAUAAUUGUAUACUUAAACGUUUCUGCUGUAUGUUUUUUACGAGGAAAUAUGACUGCUUAUAACUGUUCAACAAUUUACUAAUUUGAGCACUGUCGCAGAGGUUUUCUUUCUGCAAGAAAGCUCAUUCUUCCAACCAGAGAGAUCCUUCUGCCAACGUUAAUGUUCAUUGAGAGCUUCACCGGGAAGAGUUUGCCGUUAUUAGCUGGCCGGUAAAUGUGGGGGAGGCUUCCCGGCCCUGCGUUGGUUCAGAAUUUCUAGAGUUUAGCCAUACAUGGUUGGAAAAACCUCCUGUGUGACCCGUAAGAAUCUGCUUUUGCCAUUCUUUCUUCAUCCGACAGAACAGCCAAUAAACUGAUUAAUCCAGGAUUUGCGGUGAGCAAAUAGUUAACGUAUGCAGGCCAAUUGUUAGCGUUGAACAGAGAAACCAUUGGCUUUUUUUCCUCAGCCUUGAAAUAUGAAAGUUAUAGUUGGUGUGCAAUAAUCUAUAUUUUUAUUUUUCAUUUUACAAGCCAGAUGAAUAGUUAUUCCAGAAUCCUGUCCACAUUCAAUGGACCUCGUCUACAUGCUGUGACAUUUUACCAAUUUAUUUUAAACUACCAGAACUACUAAACCUUUCAAGUCUGAUUGUUACCUGGUGAAAGUCUAGUCUGUUGCAGAUGACCAUUAUACGGUGGGUCAUUGAGAUUGCCAUCAACUCCAUAUCCAUCCACACCGACCAUGCAGAUUUUUGGGCUCUUUGAGUUUGGAGCCACCAAGUCAAUAGGGCCCUCAGCAGGUGAGGCCAUCUGCAACUUUUUUAGGGUAUUUACCCUUAUGGUGCUGUUAGAUCAGGUUAGAAUUAUUUAUUGAACCAGCAUUAACAAUUUUAUAUAUAAUAUUUGGGCGAGUACUGUUUAAAAUUGUUUAUAAAUUCUUUAUAUGAACCCUGUAAUAUAAUUCAUCUGGAAUUUUAGUCAACUUCAAAGUAUUGAAUGAAGUUGAUGCUUUCUGGAAUGCAUGUAAUCUUUAAAGACACCUAUAGAGUUUUAAUCUAUUUGUUCAAAAUCCAUCUUAUCCAUUAUAUGUUUCAUAUAGCUGAGUGAAUUAACACUGUUCAGAUAGAUCAAGAGCUAAACUAAUUUUGUUUUGUUUUCCCCCCGAGAAAUGAUUUUCAAUGGGUAAUCUAAUAUUUAGCUGUAAUCCUGAGAAUUUCCAAAACAAAAGCAACUGUUUUAGCCAAGAUACAAUGAAUUCUAUCCAAUGAAGUUUUCUAUCCAGCUAGUAUAUUUUGUAAAUGGUUGAAAUGUUAUCAGCCUAGCAUAAUCUGUCAAUUGACUGUUUCAAUCUCUGAGCUACAAUGCCAAAUCCCUUUUGCACUUUGACUUCCUGGUCAGAAAUGCUCGCCGACCUGAACCUCAACAGAUGCAGUUCACAGUAGCACAACAGUUUCAUUUCAGGACCGGCCCUUUAGGAUGACCAUGAGGUUACUGAGACAGUAGUUAAAAACUGAUUCACUGUUUGACUGAUGUCCUUUAAGGAAGGGAAUCCAUUGUCCUUGCCCAACAGGGUCAUAGAAAUAUACUUGGUUCUUAAUUGCCCACUGUUCUGGUUUACUAAGCCACUCACUUCAAGGGCAAUUUGGGCACUGCUGAAAUCCCGUGAAUGAAUAGGAGGAAAAGAUUGAGGCAGACACUUUAAACUGUAUCAUUACAGAGUAAUUAGGAAUUCCCUCUGCUCCCUUUGCCCAUUCUCAGUUUAAAAAAAAAAAACAAGGCAGUAUUCGAAACAUUCACUGUUUGCAAGUUCUGAGCUGUGAUUUCAGUGACAAUGGAGAAAAGUGGAAAAAUAUUUCAUACAUGCCUGCAUCGCUUGCCGACACCACGCUCUGAGUUCAAAGACACAGGUGAAUCAAAUAGUAUAACAGGCAGAUAUAGCUUGGUUGGCAGAUGCAACUGCUGCUAAACACUUAAGGUGUGUGUGUGUGUGUGCGCGUAUGUGUGCGUGCGUGUGUGUGUGUGUGUGUGUGUGCGCGUGUGUGUAUAUAUAACAAAAAAAAAAGCUUUUAACAGAGCCAGACUGGGACAUCACACACCUAACACUUCUUUAAACAACCCAUACUGACUUGAUUUUAGUGCAAUGAAUACUCAGUCACAUUAGACACAUACAGUUUUAAAUAAGCUACUUACAAACCAUACUGUUCUUUUUUUUACUUUUGAUAUUUACUAUGUAUAAUCUGUUUAGCAUCAUAAACAACCAAAAAUGUAUUCCACUGUUUUAUCAAGCAGUACGUUUCAAAGGCUUUGUUUUAUUUUUCCAAAAAACAAUUGCUGAAGGCACCACAAACCUUUUUGAGGGCAUAUAAAACGACUAUAAGGGAAACGAUUUGACACCAUCAGAGCACGUUUCAAUUCACCCACCCACAGAUAUUUAUUGCCUAUAGCACCUCGAGAGCACAAAAUGGCUGCUGGUUUGUCACUAAGUAGGAUGUUAACUUGCCAGGGACUAGCAGAUCAUUAUCCAUGAGUGAGUGAAGUAAAUUAAGCUAUUAAAGUUGAUGCUCUGACCAUUAAUAACUAGCCAGUUUUGGAUGUAUUUUCUGGCAUGAAUGCAAUCAAUAUUUAUUCAAAAGUAUAUGUUUUUUCUCUUAUCCUAUUAGCUGUGUCUGACUGUGAUCAAUUAAUAUUUCAAUGCUGCUUAAUUGUUUUGAUGUUAAUCCUUUAUUUCUGUACUUCCAUUUUGUUGCUUGUAAACAGCUUUUGUAUUGUUUGAAGAGUAAUAAAUGGGAAGUUACUGUUUUUUUUGUAAAUAAAACUUUUGCUGUAAUGG